CUGUCAAUGGGUUUUGAAGGAGGACACUUAACAGUGGCAUUAAUGGCUUGCAGCUUGGAGAAAUUUUCUCAUCCCAAGGACACUGGAUAUUACAGCAAUUGACACAGAGGUGCUAGCAUCAGCAACAUUGUGCUUCUCACUUUCACUGCUAGUGGCAUUGAUGGCCAGCUUAGAGGGGGCUAGAGAAUAUCAAGUGAGGAGCCUGGGGACUGAAGUGGCAGCUUUUCUUCUUUUUUAUUUUAGAUUUAUGCAUUUUAAGUCACUCCUCAUUGAUGUCUGGGAAAGACUCCUAGCAGGAAAAUACACAAGAGAAAAAGUAAAACUGUGGAAUGCACCAAAAUGAGUUCCUGGUGGUGACAAGGUCAAUCCAAGAAAAUAAUUAAUUAAAUAUUGCCAAUGCCAUUUUAAAACGCCAAGCUGGUGUUUUCACAAUGAAUUUACUGUGCUUAACAACGUCUUUGCAGAACAAGUGAAUUAAUGUUUCUCAUUUUCUUCUCUUUAUUCUAUAUAAAAAGCAAGAAGAGUCAAUAAUAAUGUUAUUCUUGAUUCUUUAGUAAGGAAAAGUCAACCAGAAUCUGCUUAUGUCUAUUUUUCUCACUCUUCCUGUAUGUACCAUAACUUAAAAAAACUAGUUUGAAAUGACAGAUAACAGUGAUAGAUUCAUCUAUAGGCCAGCUGGACUAGAGGCCUGGGCUGACAUAAACUAGGACAACCUAGAGCAGUCAAAAAAGGAAAAAAAGAUUGCCUCAAGAUUAAAGCAGCUUUGCAAAGUUUGACUCCCUGUCAUCUGGGGUGAGUUACCUUUUUUUCCUUAAUGAGUGGCAGAUUAUCUUCAAAGCUUCUGCUUUUUGCCACAGUAACUAAAAGCAGUAGUGCGACAUAUUUUCCAUUGCUGAAGCAUGCGACGGAGAUUUUCUGUAGGAAAAGUGGGUUCAGUUCUUCUCUAAAUAGGUAUUUUGUUCAUAAUUUCUUUACAGCUAGUCAUAUGCAUGUUUUAAUGUCCUGUGGUGCAAAAGAGUAUAAUAAAUAUUAAAGUAUUACUAAUUCUAAUGAUCAAAGAAGAAAAAGAUGAGCACCUACAAGUAAUGGUUCCAGUUCCCCUUACCCUUGCUUCAUGGUGGUAUGUCUUUGCUACAAACCAGAAUCUGAUUUUUUGUCAGACUCCUGAGUUUGGCAGUAUCAAGCUGGGCUGCUGUGCUUGCUGUCCGACCACGGUAGCAAUGAUGGACAUCUGUGGCUGCAACCUUAUCACAGCAUCAGCAGGCCAGGAGUACCACAGCCUUGGACUCCGAGUGGGGCUGAGAACUUGUGGCAAGAUAUAGGACUUCUAGAGCUAAAGGAAGGACCCGUCAUGGACUGGGGAAAAAGCAUGAAGAGUUAGGUGUCUUGUGAUGUAGAUAGUUGCUGCUGGGCUACAGAAAUACCUGGAGAAUUAAAGGCAAAUAUUUUCAAGGAGAGAUUAAGACAGUUUUUAUUUCUCCCCUGGGUGAUCAAAAGCGUUAUUUGAUUGGGAAGCUAUUUUCUUCACAGUGAUUUCAUUUAAAAUAAUACAGAAGAAAACAACUCUGCUUAAAUUAACCCUAGUUAUAAAUUAAUAUCCAGUACUGGAUAUUGCUUAGAGUUUUUUGGUAUACUGGCUUUUCUGAAGCGAGGUAUAAGCUGGGUAUACAGUAGUUUGAGAUUGGUGGGUUUUUUUCCCUGUUUACUGCAAAAAUUCAUACAUGAGCCAAACAUUUAUGUGACUGCCACUUUGGAAGAGAAAUGUGUUGUGCAUAUUGACUGGUGGAUCCGCAACCAUUAGUGCCACUAGCAAUAAACUGCUGUGAGAGGAAGCUCACUGAAACUGUCAGCACGCUGGCAAUGGAGAACCUUUCUUUUGUAAGAAAAAGUUUUCCAAACUUGCUUUUCGGAUCAGCAAAUCUUUAAAAUGUUGUGAAAGCCUUUUUAGUAUUCAAGAGCUUUUACGCUUGUGCUUUUCAGAUCAAAUAAUGCAGUAGAUGUCAUUUCCUUUCUUCAAGUAAUUUGCCUUGGAAAUUACAUCGAGUAGUGGUUGCCUUAACCUGGUUGGGGACAGGUGUUUCCAAGGUUAGCUGCAUAAUGACACAGCAUCGCUUGCCCAGGAGAGGGGCAAAUCUACAAAGCAGGACACUGGAACAUCCUAGCAAGUGCCCAGCUCCCCUGCAUGUCCUCCCCUGCAGCCAGAAAGGAGUGGAGGGAGAUGUGCAGACAGUGGGGAGGUGGCACCACAUGGGACAAAGGAAGCAGAAAUGUCUUCCCAGGGCCAUAGGUGGUGGCACUGAAGGCUCUGGGGCACGCCGUGACUCCCACAGAGAAAGUGUUUCAGCUGUAUUAAUUGAUGUAAGACAAAGUCUAAUGGCUUUGCAGAAGUUCACAAUGCAACACAAAGGUCCAAUUUAAGCACUUUCUGAAUCAACAUAAAGCAGAGCAAUUAAAGAACAGCCAGCAUCAUUAUUAUGGUGACCCUGACCUGGUUUUGUGUUCUCAUAAUAUGCUGUAAUCAUAGUCCUGAUUUACACAGCAGCACACCCAGUGAAUCCCAUCCAAUACAUUUUAUGUCAUUUUCCUUUUCUUAUUUUGUACUGUUUUGUAUGAGAGGAUACUGUGACAAAAAAUACAGCAACCAGUAUAACAAACACCUUGACCACAGAACAAUUUUUAUUGGGGUGGAUGUGGUCUACAGGCUCUGAAUCAUGUUUGCGGAGCAACGAGCGGGUUCAGUGGUUCGGGACACGCUGGUCCUGCAGAGCGGAAUAACCUUUUGCUGCAGGUUGCCACAGCAGACACAUCGGCGGGUGGCAAGCAGCCAGCUUGCCUUAGCUGGUACAGUUUGCAAACCAGUGUUUCAGCAUCCUUUCAGAGGCAGUUUAGGCUGUUAGAACCCUGUGCAUUGGAGUGGCUGACGUGGGAACAGGCUACUUUUUAAUGCCUUUGCUAUGAGAGCAUUCGCCUUCAAUAGAGGCAAGGAAAGAAACAGCUGAGGUGGAUAAUGAUAAUAACCCACCACAGUGAGUUAAGAUCAGUCCUCUGUUAGAGCUCAAGCCCUCUACGGACCACAGUACGGAUGGUAUUACAGAAAGAAAAAGUUCUGUGGAGAGCAGCAUUAAAACCGCCUGGUAUCUACAGAUUUCUUGUGCUGUUUCCAUUAAACUAUCCUCCACUAGCACUUUCUUAGCCACUUUGUAUGCUCCCAUGUUUGUAUCUUAACCCUCGGUAUCCCCCCACGAUGGUCCUUGUGAUGACGUAAUUUAUGAUGCAAAUUCUUUCAGGCAAAAACUGGGAAAAAAAAUUAAUGAGCAGAAAAAACAUUGUACAGCCUGAUUCUUCAUCUGAUCUGAUAGCUUGAUACCAUUAUUAGAUAAAAAAAUCUGUUGAAGUGGAUUUUUCAAUAGGAAUGGUGGUUUAACUAAAUGAAGAUGAAAGUGUCAGCUAGCUACUGAGUUCUUAGGAAUCUGAAGGAAGGAAGCAUCCUAUGAUCAUCUCAAAGUCUGUCUUGGCAAAACAGCAGAGGCUUCUAGUUUAUUGUUAAAAAAGCUAUAGAAAAAUACAUUGUUUUCAGCCUUUAACAGAACAGAAGUGAUUUUUUUUCCCCAGAAUGAGGAAAAAAUAUUUCUAACUAGCUCUACCUUGUUUGCCUCUACUGAAAUAAAUAAAUAUAGGCUGAAAUAAAACUAGUAAAAUAGAUGGGGAAGGAUGGGGUUUCAUGAAGUAUCCUACACCCAUCUAAACACACUAAGUCACAGAAAAAUGCAAUGCUGCACCUUUUGUAAUACCGUGGUAACUCUUCACACCUGCAAAAAGAAAUAGAUCUGAGGCAAUUGGUCUGCCCUCUCGAAAGUCUGUUUUAUAGCACACUUACCAGCAUGCAACUGUUUCUGCUCUUGCAUACUUGACUUUUUGGAGACCAAAAGCUGCAAAAUGAGACAGUCUGCAUUUUGAUCAGGUGAGAGUAGUGCAGAAGCUGGAUCUCAGUACAUAUACAACAGACCACUUAGUGAAAAAGGCAUUACAAAAAUAACUUACUUAUUUCUGAAUGCCUGUGUUUAUACUAAGGUCAAGAAUAACUUCAGUUUAUUUCCAUUUAUGCAGAUGGAGCUGUUGAACCUUCCAAAAGAAUUGGAAAAGGAAGAUGAAAAGGAGAGGGUGGGAGAGAGAGGCAUAGCAGGUAGGGAAUGAAGAGGGUAUGUAGUAGAGACAUAAAUUAAGACCAGUUUGAGACAGAUGAAGAAACAAGCAUAAGGCAAUAAUAAUGGAAAAGACAGAAGGAGUACUUCUUAAAUGAAAGUAGACAAAAAUGUGAAAAAGAAAAUCUAUGGAGAGAAGUCAGAGAAAGGAGAAGCAUGAAAAAGGAGUACGAAAAUAAAGCUUUCCAUUACACGUUUCACAUUUAGUAUGCAGCAACUGGCACGAUUCAAUAUCAAUAUUUUUGCUUCUAUUAUUUUGGCUCACAGUCAUGGAUGUAAUGGUAAAGUCUGAAGAGGUGGGAAGAGAGACAAAAAUGUGUCUGUCCCGGUGUAUUUGCAAUGUGAAGUUGAAACAAAAGACAACAUGUAAUACAGACAAAAGAACACAAGGAAAUGUUUAGACAGCAGUAACUGAAGGUGUUAAACAGGCCUAACUCAUGUCAGGUGUUUCUAAAUGUGACAGAACAGGUGGAUUUAUGUGGGAAUUUGAAAGUCAACAAUUAAGUAGAUUUGGAGACAGUUAUUGGAAGGACUUCUCAAGCAUGAAAAGCAAUAAGGAAGAAAGACCUUGAGUGUAAAAGUUAAGAUGCAGUUGUGACUGAGUGGUUAGUAGGUCACAAGUCAUGAGUAAACCAGCAAAUGCAUGUUGAUAGUGUCAAGAGUGUGAGAUGGAGAACGACACUGGAAAUAGAGAUGACUACAUUGUGUUUGAGUUUGAAGAAACCAGUGGAGAAACAGAGGAGUGAAAGGGCAGAAGAAUUAGACUGAAAUUUUAUUUUUGCAGCUCUAACCUCAGUGGACAUGGGCAGCAAAAAACUGCAUUCAUCAAGAUCACUGCAAUGACAGGUAUGGAAUGAUGAGGGUUUUAGCAAGAACUUCAGCUAAGUGGUUGGAUAAGACCUGUAUUGAAUAUUUUUUUUUUUUUUUAUGUAGAAAGACUUAUUUAGAUGUAGCUUUGGGGCCAUAGAAAGAUCUGAAGUCAAGGCUGGUGUGCUGUUCAUGGCCCUGAAUAAGAGAUUAAAAGGUGGGACUAUCAGCAAACAUUUAUGAGAAAUAUAGCACAUCUUAACACAAGAUGGAUUAAUUGAAAAAGUCUCCAAUUAAGUGACUGGAAUAAAACAUGCUCACAAUUGCAUUGGUGUUUAGACACUUGAGAUAGUAACAGACGGCAGGAACAGAAGUUGUAACAUCUGAGGACCAUGUAGGGACUUGCCGGAGCAGAUUUUGAAAUUCAGAUCUUUUGUUCAUGGGAACAACUGUAGAAAAAGACACUUAGGCCCAGGAAUCCUGUUCCACUCUUCCAUCAUCAGAAGAGUGAUGCUACUAAAGCUUUAUCAAAGCAGCCACAGAUUUUUCCCAGGAAAUGAGACUCAGAACCACAGGCAUGAAAUGACUUUAAGAAUUGGGCUGGAAUAUGCUCUAGUGAAUAUUUCUGACAGCCCUAAAAGGCAUUAAACAUCUCUCUGUGGUGUGCAGUGAAGUCUCCUAGAAUAUCACCAGCAAAUUGAUUUUUUUGUGAUUAUUAAGGUGUGUCAGGAGUUCCAAGGCAGAGAAAAUUUUUAGCCUAUUUUGGCAAAAUGUUCUCAAGACAGUAUUUAGGGGCUUUAUGUGGGCAUUCCUGUAACUAGCAGGAUUGAAGUGCAAAUUUAUGUAUAGAAAAAUGUGCUAUACAUACGAGGUUACACUGGGAAAGGAAAGAGGAAAAUGUACUAUCUGCUGGGGACAGAAGAAUGAAAAGUGACUCUUUACAAACUUGUGCUUGUUUUUAGAAACUUGAUGAAAUUAUUUUACUCUUUCAUGGCUGGCAUUCUAAAUGCCAAAGUAAAUUUUAAAUUGUAACAGUCUGUGUAUUAAAAAUAAAUUCACCGAACAAAGCAGAAAAUUAGGCAUAGUUGAAGGUUUUUUUAAUAAAGUUCGGUGAACAGUUUUACUUUAAAAGUUCAAAUACACUUGACCAGCUUCUGUGAAGAAAACUGAAGGUAUUUUGUUCUGAAAACUUGUAGCUGGCCUUUUUCAUUGUUUGAAUAGAUAUUCCUAUGCAUUGUGUCUAUGUGAACUGAAUAUAAUGAUAAAACUAAGCGACUGCUAUCUCUGUUAAACAUAACGUUCUCUUAAAGUGGAUAAUUAUCAACAUUGUUUUCUAGAUGCUACUACGGGUUUUGUUUUGUAAUGUCACUAAUUUUCUUUGCCUAUUUUUCACUGUGUGUUUUCUAAAAAUAUUUAUUCAGAAGUGACAUUUUUAUGUUUCAUGUCAACAUGUGCUUGGAAAACAGGAAGACAGGUAUGAAUUGAUCAUCAACCAAUUCUGCUAUUCAGCACAAAACUUGCAUAUGACAGCUGUGUAAAUUCUGCACAUUUAAAAAAAUAUGCAAUACGCAGUUGUGACUCGGUUCUUAAAAUAAACAUUUGCUUUGGGUCUGUCAGUCUUCCUUUUAUUUUGCUUUCAAUAGACUUUCAAGUACUUGAAUUUCUGUGCAUGGAAUGGUUCAGGUACAUCACAUGCCUGAGUAUUCCCAAGUGGAGAGGCACGUAUUUACAGAAUAAGACUGUUAAGACAGUGGGAGAACAGGUUACUCAGGACCCAUUCGUAAAUCCAGUCACUGGGACUGCUAAAAUAGCUGGUGAAAUCCCUUUACGCAUUUGGCCGACAGAAAUAUUUUUUUCAAGAAGUCAGCAAUUUAGGGUAGCAUCUUAACACUCACGGACCUUUUUCAUGCCUUUUGUUCUGGUUAUGUAUGUACAUGUGUACCCAUGCAUGUGCACAUGCACACAAAUGCAAUCCUACACUCAUUGUUCUGACAUUUUGCAGGUACACAGGUGUGGGCUAAGCAAAGUUUAGAGGAAAGGAAUUCAGGGCUAUUGCAGCUCCCUAGAAAAAAAAAUUACUCUCAGCUCAAUAGGCCCCAGUUCUUGUGUACAGGUGUUGAUCAAUGCUAAUCUGUUUUUUCCAGUCUCAACAUUCUGAGGUCAAUUAUUCCAGACUAUGUUUGUUUGUGUAAGAACAAGCAAUUUUUGACCCAAACCCCAGUCUCCCUGCUUUGUUGCAUGUAUAAACAGACCACUGACAAAUCAGAUACCUGCACUGUCCUUUUUGGCUGCUACAAUGACACUUUUGAAACCUCAGGUUCAAACUCCCACACAAGAUUUUGUGGGGAAGCAUCCCGUUGCUUCUUUGGCUCAGAAUUCACUUCUGUUUAAAGAAAGCAACUCAUGUAGACUUUGCCCAUUCCCAUUCCUGAUUUCAUUAAUCCACACUUGGCACCUAUCCUGAUAUAUUCGUCAGAGAAGAAUAAAGAAAGUCUUUUUCAUUAGUAGUGUUUGCAGGAAAUCUCAAGAUUUCAUGAUGUUUGCCUUCCUGCCUUUACAGCUCCAUACACACUUCUCUUUCUCAGAGGGCUUCCCCUUGCUAAUUUUAAACAACACUUUCUCAUAUUUUAAGCAUAUCUGCAAAGCUCUAAUGUUACUGGAAUUUAAAACUCCUUUGGAGACUGCUGCUCAUUCUUCUGUUGGCCAGGAGAUAUUUAUGUAUGUAUAUUCUUAGCCAUGGAAUAUUAUUACAGAAUUUGUAAGCAGCUACACUGAGGUCUGACUCUGUGGCUUCUUCUGAAAACACAGAACAGAAAAUACCAGGUGAAAGGUAAGCAAAUGUGGUUUUAAGCACUGCAAGUACCAGUUCAGACUGUAGGCUAGUUGACACCUUAAUGGGAAAUCAUGUUCUGAAUAUAUGCGCUAUCCACAGGGUUUAUGGAAAGGAGUGUACUGAAUGAUCCACCUAUUGUUUUGCACAGAUACUCAUGGACAUGAUCAUUUUUAAAAAUCCUGGUUUAUGAAGAUCUUUUGCAUAAGGACAAGUUUUUGCAUGUGAUUGGGUUUCCUAAAUGGUAUGAUCAGUCAUUGUCCAGAAGGUGACAGGAGUCUUUGUUGUAAGUGUCCCUUGCAGUGACAAUUUCAGCUAUAUCAAAUGAGGUUCCAAUAAAUUCUUAUAAUUCAGGUGGACCAUGGUCCUGUGUGGCUACUCCAGCAUAUGCAUGAACCAUUGCUAUUCACCAUCUUGAACUCUGUGUAAAAAUAUCCCAUCUUAACAAAAUACUUUACAAAAUACCGUCCUGUGUGAACAUUUCUGCAUCUUCAGGAAUGGCCUGUCAAGCCAUUUAUGUCCUUGUGCAGGGACUAGCUAAGGAUUUCCUGGGCCAAAUGAUGCCUAAGUGCACUGGGUCUGCAUACAGGCACAGCCAUUACACCCAGCAACAGGAACUUGAAUUUUCUCCCUAUAUUACAAUUUUAAAUGAAAUUCCACAGAUUUCUUACAAUUAACAGAAUUUCAGAGAAAAGACAGAGUCCCUUAUUGCAAUUAUUGCACUUUGACUCUUUCAAAAGCCUCAAAUCGUGACAGGUAAACUUACCAGUGUUUAGUCUGUCAAGUACUAUACUCUCAUCACUGAAAAAGUAUGGUUCUUUUAAUAUUGAUUUUAACUAGUUCCUAAAACACAUUCAAAUGCUUGGGAUAUCAUAUAUUAACAUCUGUAACAGUAACGACUACUUAACAGUUACCAUUGUCAUUCAAGGUAUUUCCUACCUUGAAAUGCAGAUGUUGUUAUGGAUCACACUUAAUUGGCCCUGUCUCUUCCUGUCCGGUGAAAGGUUCUACCCAAACAUACCCAAGUGUAGCUGCAUACCUCUGAAUUCCUUAGGAAUUUUCUUUCGUCAUGAGGGUGCAACUAGAACUGGCACAUCCAUGCUUUUAUAGCCCUAGUUCAGAUUAGGUGGAAGCUUAAAAACAUUUACUGACAUACCUACUUUCACUUUCCAACCCUAGAGAAAAUCUACAGUACCUUAAAGUUCAGAAGAUUUAAGGCUGUCUAUUUGUUUAUGACUAUGAGAGAUUCCACGGUAUUGUUGUAAACUGGUAUUUUAUGAAAAGAAUUGGAAACGUUUCUGUUUAUGUUUAAGUAUUGAUAAAUAUUCCAUGAGAUGUUGCAACAAUAAAUGCAUCUUUGAUUUUUGAAAGUUUUAGGGAUUACAGUUGUUAAUUUUUUGAUAUGUAAUUGCUCUAGCAGACCCAUUUUAAUUGUUUCCGCUGCAGCAAUCAAUGAGUAUCAAAUUCAAAAAUAGUAUAGUAAUUAAUUUGUCCUUUGAAGAAUUAAUUUAUUAAAUUUGGACAUGAAAUCCAGUCCUUAAAGUGUGAAAUAGUGACAUUUUACUCCUGCAAAUCUCAAACCAUUUAACUAUGAGCUAACUACUGAUGUCUCCAUAGUAUGCAGUCUCAUGCAUUAUGCUGUCUGCUUUGAAGACUAGGAUUUAAAUGAAGUUACCUAGUAGCAGGUGCAAUAAAGUUCAUGAUAGGGUAUGACGUACAACAAUAUUAAGUUAUUAUACCUGUUAUGCAGAUAUACAAUGUUAUUUGGAUCUUGAAAGUCUUCCAUGUUGAAGAAAGAGGAAUGAUUUGUCUUGGAGGCUGAUUUAAAACUUUUUCAGCUGUCUUUCAGGGAGGCCCAUAGGUUUGCUAUGUCACAGGCAUUCCCAAGGGAGAUGCAUUGUCAUAAGCAUAGGCAAGGUAGUCAAAUGGCAUGGAACUGUAAUUUAUUUCUUGUCUGUCAUCAGUUUGCCUUCACACAGAUGAAAUGCUGCUCUCACUGAAGUCAAUCUUUUUAAAAGAUGCCUGUGUUUGUGUGUCUUUGUGCAUGCACUUGUGUAUGUGUGUGUGUAAUUACACACACGCACCAGCAGAAAAACUUCUGGUCAAAUCAUUUUACCUGUUUUAACAAAUAGAAGAUAUGGUGUCAUGAUUUCUGUCUGUGUAGUCAGCAUUAAGUGAUUGAGUGUGUGGCUGUAUUUCAAGUCUCGUAGGCCAGCAUGAAGCACGUGGACAGCUUAUAUGUAAAGUAGAUUAUGUGUAUAUGAAUAGUGCAAUUACAAGCCAAAUGUGUUAUGUUUAUGUGUGUGUGGAGGGCUAACACGUUACAAAUACAUCUCAGAGUCCUGCCAUAAGAAAUGGAAGUGGUCAGUGUGCUGCCAAGUGUCACUCUUGUUCUGAGCACCUGAUCUAUAAAACAAAGUCAUGUACCUUUCUACACCGGACAGUUAUCACAGUAUUGCUUCACAACAGCGAUAACAAAAGUGAAGCAACAGAAAACUGUAUCUGAUCUUCAAGGAGCCUGUCUUUAUUUAGACACUUGAUUUCAGUUAACUUCUAUAAGUAAGCACUCCGCCCAUGGGUAUUAAAGCUGCCAUGUGUAGACGUUAUACUGCAGUGGGGCUGGUGGAAGCUUUCAUCAGUAUAUGGAGAUAAUAACAUAUGAGGUCUGAUUUUCAUUUCAGAUAUAUACCAAUGCGCAGAGUUGACUCGCUGAAUUCAAUGGGAUGAUUUACAAUUUAUGGCAGUGUAAACACAAGAGAAUCACCCUGAUUGCAACCCAAGGUUACUCUCUGCUGGCUCUUGGGUGACAUGUUUUUCUGGAAAGCCCAACAUAAUCCAUCUAUAGUCAAAAGGAGGUCAGUGGUACUUUGAAGUAUCCAUUUUUUUUCUGGGAGAACUGGCAGGGCAAGAGAAGAAGGUUAUGAAGAUCAAGCCACUCAUGGCAAAGGAAGGAGGUCUAGCACAGGAAAGAGAUUUAGAGUGAUUACCAAGCAAAAGCAAUUACACUCAGGCAAGUGUGCUUAAAAAUAAUUCUCCAUCUUAUCAACUUUGCAGUUUAACUCCACAAAGUUUCUAUGGCAAGACUGAAGGAAUGGUAUUUGAGAAAAAGAUUUCAAGGAGAACAAAGGAAAUGAUCUAACAGAAAAAUAAAAAAACAAAAGGCAACAAAAAGAGAAAGGAAGAAAGACAAAAAGAAGGAAAGGAAUAAAACAAGGAGAGGUUAAGGGAGGAGAGAAAGAUUUUGUCUUUUUUGCCAAAAUCAACUUAUCUUCUCCGGUCUGGUAGUGUUGUCUAGAGAGCAGUUCAGUAAAGAUGACAGGAGAUCUCUAGUGUUUCAGGAAAAUACAUUUCUUGUAUUUACAUCUAAUGCAAAAUUAUUUUGCUUUCAAAACUGGGCACUGUGGACAACACCUACAGGUGUAUUUAUAGUCCAACACAUCACCAAUUAUUUAAUUUAUAUUUCCAUAGUAACUAUUAGCAGAAUGCAGGCAAAGAGAAUACGUGCAGUCUUUGUUCAACAAUUACACUGCCACAUACCCAGUGCUGUUCGGUUGUAUACAACAGUUUUAAAAUACACACCUGUGGGGCUUUUUCCUACUGUUGUUUGAUACUGUCAUGGUAGCACCUGGAAUUUCUUGAUAUAAAAAAUACAAACGCACAGGAAAAUAGUAUUCUCCAAUCCAGAGGACCAACAGUCCAAAUUUAUAAUAAGGUGCAAAAGACAUGCAGAUGCAUAAGGGGUGAGGACCUAAGGGUGAGGCUGAGGUGACAAUAACCAUGGGUUUCCUCAUGUACGUAUACAGUUGUCACAUAAGCCACAGAUGAUAACCAGUCUCCUCCAAGCUACAUGCCAGUGACCUGUCAGCACUGUGGUAAGAAAAGUUGUGAGAGAGGAUUUAGGCCAUAAAAAGUUGAGACUGUGAGGAAUGGCGACGCUUAUUUCUCAUAAACUUACAUUCAUGUGCAAGUUGAGGAAUACUAAUGAGCGUAAGGCCCGCUAUCACAAAGCAAAGUAACCACGUCCUUGUACAAUGCUAGGAAAAAUCUCACGGAUCGGGUUUUCACAGGAAGCACAGACCAAACAGACCAGGGGUAUGACAGGAGUGGUCAGGGUAAUCAAAUUGUACUUUCUGUGGGCUAUUGGCAAGGUUUAAAAAGGGAUCUUUGGAGCUCAUUUUCUGCUAACCGCUGAGGUGAAGACUGCAUUCGGGUCCUGUUGAAGUCAAGGGCGAAAAAUGGUGACUUUUAUUCCGGGAAAUGCCUCUGCAAACACAAGUUCUUCUUUUCACCAUCAGCUAUCAUUUUCCCCUCACUGACCAUGAAAAGAAGUGGUUGCCUCAGGUAAUUAUGUGUACAGGAAGAAAUUCUCACUGCUUUCUGAAUAUCACCAAUAACACGUUUAAGUGAUUUACUGUACCUUGUAAUUGGUUUUCUGAAAAUAUGAAUAUUUUACUGCCACUGUGGCAACUCUCCACAGCAUCUAUAAUAGCGGCAUUCUGCAGGACAUGAUUAAUGAGCUUUAUUUUUUGCUCUGUCUAGAAGUAAGAAGGUUAGAAGUUCUAAAAUGAUUUUCUUUUUGAGGACAUGAAAAAAGAUCAUAAAGCUGCAUCUGAUCAAUGUGUGAGAGCUUUUUUGAAGGGCCAAGCAACUGAAAUGAUGCAGCAAAUGUUAGAAACAAGCUAGAGGAAACCCAUCAUGCAUAAAGUAAUGCCACCUUAGUAUCAUACGCUUCUUUAUAGCUAAUUUGGGGAGGAGGAAUUGGAGAGGAAUUAUCUCUGAGCACAUGAUGUGAGAACAGGAAAGCAUAGAAGAAUGUCUGUGAAUGCUGAAGCCUACUUUACUCUAGUUUGUGCCUUUGAAAUCUCUUAAAAAUAUAGGUGGGUUAAAAUACUAUAAAGGUGAGGUGAGUCUUUUGGUAUGCUGUGCAAAAAUAAGUGAAUCAACUUGAUAAAGUAUGGAAAUGAGAUGAUACCAAACACUGCAUUUGUGACUUGCAGUGGAAGAUUUGCAACCUUCAGAAGACAUUUUGCUAUCAAUUUCUCCUUGUUUACAAGCAGGAAAAAGUGGAUGAUGAUAAAAGAAACCCUUCCUGUUGAAGACUCUAUGUUGUUUUAAAGAAUCUAGUUUCUAGAUCACAUUAGGAAGCGUUCUUAAAUGGAAAUAAUAAUGGGUAAUUUCAGGUUCCUUGGAACCCAAUGCAAUUCACAAUCCUGGGUGAGGCACUCAUGCUCUCUUAUAUAAUGCAAGGAGAAAGCUUUAAGCCUAAAAAAGUGGUUUAGUAAAACAGAAAUACAAUGGAGAGUAGAAGUGUUUGCAUCCUGCCUAUGACAGACAACUCCUCUGAGUCAGAGAUGGGCACCUUUUUCUUAACAAGGAACUGAGCUUACUUGUUUUCAGCAUGUAAAGUGAAAUUGUUUAUUCCAAGAGAUGUCUGGAAGAGUGAGUCCUACUGCCCUUUUAACCACUGGAUUGGUGGCUGCGGUACUUAUGAAGAUGUAAGAGACUUAAGCCCUGACCUUAGGGCUUUGUUCUAAUAAUAGCAGGAAAUGGUUCUGAGUUUGCUUUACCACUAUAUCCCAUGGAAAUGAUAUGAAUUUGCAUUUGCUAAUUAUUCACAAGCUGGUUCACAGUCAUAUGUGCCUCUUCUACUAUAUACCAGACAGUCUGGUUAGAAUAGUCUGUAAAGCUUUAGAACAUCCGAAGGAAAAGACAAAGACAGAGAGGCAGAUGGAAAAUAGGCAAAAAAAGGCAAUGGGGAAUAAUGUGUGACAGAUCAUGGCAGACCAACCUGAUCUCUGUCUGUGUUGACAUAGCAAGCAUUACAGGCAAAGGAAAGAGAGCAAAGUCUUAAAGGAUGAAUUCACUUGUGCUUGAAUACAGUUUCCUGGGGAUGAGAGAGCACAACACAAGAGCUGUAAAGCAGGAAGAAACCUAACAGGGAGACUGCUAAAAAGAGAACGGUGUUGCUGGAAAAAGGUAGCUAGUGUAAUUCCUCAAGGAUAGGUCAUGAGGCCAAUUAUACGUAAUGUUUUUACUGGUGACCUUGGCACAAAGAAUAGCUGUGUGCUGAUGAAAUCUGCUGAUGACACGAAGCUGGGAGCAGCAAUCAAUACAGAGGAGCAUCAGAAUAUCAUAUAGGAAUUGGAUGACCUUGAGGACUGGAGUAAUAGGAACAGGAGGAUAACAGGUAGUACCAAGUGCAAGAUCAUGCACCCAGGGACUAAGAAGAAGAAUGACUGCCAUAAACUGGGAAUGCAACAGGUGCAAAUGAGAAAGGAGGGCAAGUCUGCAAGUGUAAGAAUGCCUGUGAGCCACUUAAAGGAUACAGCUGUCAAAAAAGUACAUGAAAAGUAUUUCCAGUGCUAGAAAUAGACAAAACCAUUAGUCAAAUGGUCUAAAAGAAAUUUUUUAGAGUAUAUUCAAGUAUUUACAUGAAAAAAUCCCUAAAAAAUUACAACUGAAUAGGUGUUGCAAUAGAAGAGGAGUCUCAGGAUAUGGAUAUGUGAAUGAGUCAUUGCAAACCUGGGAAGGUUACUAGUUAUCAUGAAGCAGUUUCUACUAAGUGCUUAUCUGCCUACACUUGUCUCAUGGUAAAUUCAAAGUACUUUUUCUUCAUUCUCCCUGCAAGUGAAGCUAUCUUGGACUUAGCAAGAAGAAUAUUAUGGCAGCUUCCACGAGGUGGCUAAAAAGAUAAAAGGCAUGAGUUCUUGUUCAAGUAAUCUAACCAUAAAAUAAGUUACUUUCCCCAGUCUGGCCAAACAAAAGAUUAGAAGGGUCAGGAUUGUGUGUGUAAAUAUGCAAAGGAAGUAGACACCAGAGAUGAAGAAAAUUUCAUUGAGUUGAAGAACAAAAUAGCCUCAAGGUUGAAUGGUAUUUAAUUUGCUAUAUUUUGAAUGGAAAUUAUCAAAUAGUUUCUGAUCACAAGGGUGGGUGGGCAGUUGUUUUCCAAUAAGCGUCUUGAAAGCAAGAAACCUAACUGCUUUUGGACAUUUAGCUUGAAAUAUUUUCUUAAUGACUGCCAACUCUGUGUUUGUAAUUCUUGUUAGCAAGGUGUUUCAUGUGUGGAAGAAGUAGGAGAAGGAUACUUGGGUUGUGAAAGUGUCUCUGGGGAGGAGGCAGUUCUCAGGAAAGCGUUCCUUUUCUGUGUUUCUAGUACUUGAUUAUGACAAAUAAAGACUCAGUACAAUGUG